rnacentral:rRNA from 1 species
UCAAUAGCGUAUAUUAAAGUUGUUGCAGUUAAAACGCUCGUAGUUGAAUUUCGGGAUUAAUAGGUUGGUCAUGCCCUCGGUAUGUACUGAUUUCAUUGGUUCUCACCUUCUAAGGAAUCAUAAUGUCAUUCGUUUGAUGUUGUGGGGAAUUAGGACUGUUACCUUGAAAAAAUUAGAGUGUUUAAAGCAGGCUAACGCUUGAAUACAUUAGCAUGGAAUAAUGAAAUAGGACAUCCGAUUCUAUUUUGUUGGUUUCUAGGAUCGAUGUAAUGAUUAAUAGGGAUAGUUGGGGGCAUUAGUAUUCAAUUGUCAGAGGUGAAAUUCUUGGAUUUAUUGAAGACUAACUACUGCGAAAGCAUUUGUCAAGGAUGUUUUCAUUAAUCAAGAACAAAAGUUAGGAGAUCGAAGACGAUCAGAUACUGUCGUAGUCUUAACCAUAAACUAUGCCGACUAGGGAUCAGAUGAUGCUUAUUUUUUAAUAACUCAUUCGGCACCUUACG